AGGCCAUGAUGGGGGCACUGUCUCAGCAUACUUUUGAAUCUGUCUCAGGCUUUAAAUAAUGAUUCUUAUUCUAUCUGUUUGAAGCUUGCGAUCAAAUUCCUCAUGU